AAGGACCAGCAACUGGAAUAAAAAGUAUUGCAUUUCACCAAGAUGGCUAUGAAAUUGGCUUCAGUUCUUCUGCUGAUACAGCUGAGUGGUUACUUUAGCUCUGGGACUUGUGGAAAGGUGCUGGUGUGGCCCACAGAUUUCAGCCACUGGAUGAAUAUGAAGACAAUCCUGGAUGAACUUGUCCAGAGAGGACACGAGGUGACUGUACUGACAUCUUCAUUUUCCAUUCUUGUUCAUCCCAGCAAAACAUCUGCUAUUAAAUUUGAAGUUUAUCCCACAUCUUUAACUAAAAAGGACUUUGAGGAUCUUUUUUGGAAACUGAUGAAGAAAAUGAUAUAUGAUACUCCAAAGAAUACGUUUUGGUCAUAUUUUUCACUAGUAGAAGAAAUUAUGUGGGAAUAUUCUGACUGUAUUAGAAAGAUUUGUAAAGAUGCAGUUUUAAACAACAAACUUAUGACAAAACUAGAGGAGUCAAAGUUUGAUGUUGUUUUUGCAGAUGCCUUUGGUCCCUGUGGUGAGCUCCUGGCUGAAAUACUUAAAACACCCCUUGUGUACAGUCUCCGCUUCUCUUUUGGCUACACAUUUGAGAAGUAUAGUGGAGGACUUCUAUUCCCUCCUUCCUACGUACCUGUACUUAUGUCAGAAUUAAGUGAUCAAAUGACAUUCAUAGAGAGGGUAAAAAAUAUUUUAUAUAUGCUUUAUUUUGACUUUUGGUUCCAAACAUUUAAUAUGAAGAAGUGGAAUCAGUUUUACAGUGAAGUACUAGGCAGACCCACUACGUUAUAUGAGACAAUGAAGAAAGCUGAUAUGUGGCUCAUUAGAACCUACUGGGAUUUUGAAUUUCCUCGCCCACUCUUACCAAAUUUUGAUUUCGUUGGAGGACUCCAUUGCAAACCUGCCAAACCCCUGCCUAAGGAGGUGGAAGACUUUGUCCAGAGCUCUGGAGAGAAUGGUGUCGUGGUGUUUUCUCUGGGGUCAAUGGUCAGUAACAUGACAGAAGAAAGGGCCAACGUGAUUGCUUCAGCCCUUGCCCAGAUCCCACAAAAGGUUCUAUGGAGAUUUGAUGGCAAGAAACCAGACACCUUAGGACCUAACACUCGGCUGUACAAGUGGAUACCCCAGAAUGACCUUCUUGGUAAGAUUCUGGAGAAAAAAAAACUGAAUAUAUGUGUAACAGUCAGUUAGAGUGAUAGUAGUAUUAGUGUACUUCUCUAAGGCAAUUCUAUGGCAUUUGUUUUGAUACUUUUCAAACAUCUUCCAUGGAUUUUAUAUGUUUAGGCAAUAAACUUACUUUUGGUGUUGGAAUGUUGAUGUUUUUCCUUCAGCUAUAAAGAGAACGCUAUGAAGUUAUCAAGAAUUCAUCAUGAUCAGCCAACAAAGCCCCUGGAUCGAGCAGUCUUCUGGAUCGAGUAUGUCAUGCGCCACAAAGGAGCCAAACACCUUCGGGUUGCAGCCCACGACCUCACCUGGUUCCAGUACCACUCUCUGGAUGUGAUUGGGUUCCUGCUGGCCUGUGUGGCAACUGCUACAUUCAUCAUCACAAAAUGUUGUCUGUUUUUUUGCCGAAUGUUUGCGACAGCAGGAAAGAAGAAAAAAAGGGAGUAAUUAUAUCGAGCCCUGAAGCUGGGAUACCUGAACAAUGGAUCUCCUGCAAUUUAUUCCAGCAAGAAGGGGUUGUGAUGGAAAAUUCUCUUCCUCCUGUGACAAAACAUUUUUUCUCUACUUACUUCGUCAAGUCAAAAUUUGUUUUCCGGAGAUUUAGUACCUAUUUAAAAGUUAGAAAUAUUCCAUGUCAAAUAUUGAAAUGAACUAGGAAAAAGUAAAUAUUAUGUAAAAUAUAUGAAUUUAUAGCUAAAUUUAUUGUUCUAAUUCAUAAGUUAUGGCACAAAACAUUUAUUGAACUUAACUAUGUUUCACACAUUGUACAGGGACAGAAGAACAUUGAGAAGUCCACUCACAGUAUCAAUACUGUUUUGCUAAUACUCAGAAAACUUUGGCUUCAUUCUGAGCAGAAUUUUCUUAUUUUAAUUGUUACUGAAGAAACUAUUCAAUGAUUAAUUUCUGUAAAAGGUCUCUUCCUUCCUUUUGCUAUUGUGAGGCCAGUGGUACUACUUGGCUUUUACAGGACAUGGAACCUCAGUAUACCUGCUUUCCUAAAAGACGUGGCAAGACAUUUAUUUAGCUUCUAAGAACUUAAGGUAUUUCCCAGGGGAAUGUAUGUGGAAUUAGAAAUAUAGCGACUACUACUUGUUUCCUGCAGUAAAAUUGAACUAUUUUGCAAAUUCUUUGGUUUCACAAACCAAUUUUUAAGAGCAUUUUAAGAGAUUUACCAGAAUGAUUUCACUCCCUUUAUCAGCCAUUUAUAAAAGAUGUAAGGUCUCCACUUAGUAGUCAUAGAUGAUAUUUUGUAUUUCCAUGGUAU